GUGGGGAAUAUUGGACAAUGGGGGGAACCCUGAUCCAGCCAUGCCGCGUGUGUGAAGAAGGCCUUUUGGUUGUAAAGCACUUUAAGUGGGGAGGAGGCUCUCUUGGUUAAUACCUGAGAAGAGUGGACGUUACCCACAGAAUAAGCACCGGCUAACUCUGUGCCAGCAGCCGCGGUAAUACAGAGGGUGCGAGCGUUAAUCGGAUUUACUGGGCGUAAAGCGCGCGUAGGUGGUUAAUUAAGUCAAAUGUGAAAUCCCCGAGCUUAACUUGGGAAUUGCAUUCGAUACUGGUUAGCUAGAGUAUGGGAGAGGAUGGUAGAAUUCCAGGUGUAGCGGUGAAAUGCGUAGAGAUCUGGAGGAAUACCGAUGGCGAAGGCAGCCAUCUGGCCUAAUACUGACACUGAGGUGCGAAAGCAUGGGGAGCAAACAGGA
rnacentral:rRNA from 1 species